CAAUACGUCAAUCCUUUACGUCGUCGACCAAUACUCCCGUCGCUGUGCAUUUUGCAAUUGGGUCCCUUGCAAAUUGGGAAAUUAUUCCACAGUCCCCCCACCCCAACAUUUUCCCCAUCAGCCGCCAGCAAUCCCUUUCUCUUCCCCGGGUAGCCGCCGCCGGACUCCAUCGCUCCACCUCGUGCGCCGGCGCCACCACCCGACACUGUGGUCGUCUCCCGCAGGGAGUGGGGCGAGGAGUCUCGGCAGUAGAAUUGUUUUGUUUUGCUCGUUUCGUCCGUCGCUCACACCCGCAGUCCUCCACCAUCCUCUAGAGCCCGGAUCCACCCCGCCCUGCCCCGAUCCAUUCACUCCGGGCAAGAUUUGCUCCCCAAUCCCCGCACAUGUGCAUCCUCCUCUGCUACCAUCCCGUCAAGAUGAAGCUUUCCUUCCUAAGACACAGAUUCGAGGUCUCUGCCUCACGUCGUGGUGGAGUUCAUCAGCGCCUUCCAGGGGCACAUGGGCGUCAAGGCUUCUUGCCUCGAACAUUCUCUGGUCGCCCCCAUAACUACGCACGUCGCCGGUGAGGAGAGCCCCUCGGCAUUGCACCAGCGUGUACCAACCGGCACCUUCGGGACUUGAUAGAAUUUGUGGAUCUGCAUUGGUGUGCGCCCCAGUGGCACCACACAGCCGUCGAUGGGAGGAGCGAUGUCUCUGAGAUCCUGGUGUCACCACGCAGCCGCCGAUGGGAGGAGCAUUGGUGUACUAUUGGCCUUAAGUUCAGUUUCUCUCCUCACUUGAUUGUUUAGAGUCCAAAUAACUUUAGUUGUAGCUUUCUGAGUUUAUGGAGCAGUUAUAAAACCUUGCAUGUCAAGAAAUAAUAUGGCCUGGAUUUGUAUUGGUCUUCAUGUAUAUACAUCAGGCAUUCCGUAGUCAUCAUUUUUCCUUCUUUUGGAGUUCACACUGGCCAUUAUGAUUACAGAAUGUUCAGAAUCAUGUCAUUAGAACCCUAAAUGGAUGAUAUAUAUUUAAAACGAUGAUGCUUGUUGCCUGCUGAUGCUUAAAUGAUAUUGUGUCGAUUGCUGCAUAUAUCUUCAUAGCCUAUUUUUCUAGACCAUUAUCUUUUCACAGAUUAUGCAUGGUAGAUCUUUAGAUGUUAUUUCUGUUUAGGAGUCAAGCAUUAGGAUCUCGAUGGAAGCGACCUAGCAGCUUAAGCUGCAGGGCGUGGAACUGCUCCGCUUCCAAAGGACCAAGCUGAGUAGCGAUGACUCGUUGAGUGAUUGGUUGAAACGACUACAGUCUAGGAGCACGCAGCAACAUCAGACAUUUAUCUUUUUUCAGUUUUCUUCUAAAUUACUCAGUUUGUUCCCUGAUUUUGGUUGAUCGAAUUCCAACAACUUUCUUGCAAUUUGAAUUGCGCAUUGGUUGAGGAGUGCCUAGCAGUUGGCAAGAGAAGAGGAGCAAAAGAACAAGAGGAUGCAAGAUUAUUUUAUGGUUGUGGAACAUAUUUUCCCGGAUUCUAUUUUAAUAAGCAAUCUAUUUUGUCGCUGUUAUAGAAUCCCUUUUAAUGGUGUUAUCAUGUUUCCUAUUUAGGCUGUCUCAACAUAGACAAAUAUGUGAUGGCAAAAAACAUAGAGCAAUAUGUAGGUCAUUCUACUUUGGUUAGAAAUGCUCAUUUUCCUCAAAUCAUGUAUUCCUUGAAAUGCCAGUGCCAUGUUAAUAUGUAUAAGUUAUAGAUGGCCCUUGGUACCAACUUGGAUGCAUGACCGUAUGGUAUAAUCACUCAAUGUACUAUUUAGACAAAUGACUGAUGGAAAGUUGUUUUAUUUUGUAGAGUUAAUAGCUGAUUCUAUCUGUAGACAACCAUGUCUCCUCUAUUUUUGUUAUGCUAAGCUUUCUCACAUAAUUAAUACUCCUAAAACUCCCAUGCCACAACUCUCAUGCACCCUGCCUCCUCAAAAUUCAGUUUCAGCUUACUUGCGUUUUUUUAGUACUUAACUAUAACCUGGGUAAAUGGUGUGGAAGAUUAUCCAAUAGAGUAUCCAUUGAGCCUUUUUUCUUAAGAAAAAAGAUAUAGUCAUGUAAUACAAUCAAUCUGUUUAUUAAAAACUUUCUUAGUUAUUUGAAAGCUUAAAUUGCAUUUAUGUUUGAAAACUCUGUUAUGUUUGGGCAUUUGUCGGGUCACCAGGGAAGGUGACCAGCUUUUACACAGAAGCUCCAUCCGUUUGCUUUGCUUAGCCUGCAUUAUUAUAAGUAAAAAAGUGUGGAUUUAUUUAUUAUAAUAUGGACCAUGAUUAAACUAAGGUGGAUUUUGUCGAAACUUAGAUGUGGAUUUCUCUGGUAGUAAAAGGUCAUCUAUUGCCCUAUCCCUGUUUAAUUAUUUCAUUGCAACAUACCCUGUAUUGCACGAACAAUAAUUGUGGAUGAUUGAGUGUUCAGAUGGAUUGGCUGGGGAAACAACUUUGGGCAUAUAAGGCCCACAUGCUUGACAUCUCGAAUUAUUUGUUCUUUGGCAUGACAUUAUUAAAUCACCUUUUAGUUCUCACUACAAUCCAUUUUAUGCUGGAAUUGGCAAUGGAGACAUGGAUGGGGUUAGUUUAUAAAAGUUGGUAUUCCCAACAGCAAGAUUUUUAUCAUCAACCAAAAGGUAUCCUGAUUACACUAAGCCUAAGUUAAUAAUAUUGUGCUUUUGUAAUUGCCUGCAUUAUUAUAAGUAUGAGAUUUAUACCAAGUCGUCAUUGUUUUGAGUAGUGUUUACGACAGUAGGUCAAGAAUGUUUUGACUUGAGUGAUGCAUCUUAUGGUAUUGUAUAUCAAUAUAUGUUGAAAGCAUAUGUACUAGAUUGUUUUUGUGCAUUAAUGCUCGUGUCAUAGAAACUGAGAAUCAUUUUUCACCUUGAAACAUAUGACGUACAUUUAUGCUGCUGGUAUGUGUUAUCCAAACGGUCUAACUGAAAUUUACGAUCGAAUGUAUUACAAAUGCAUUGUAUUAUUAUUUUGUGAGUUGCUGCAGCGCUCAUUUUUGCGGUAAGACGGGCAAUUGCCGUCAAGACAGGCCUCCUAUCUUCACAUUUUUGCUAAAAGUUAACUUGUGUUGUGUUUCUUCUUAGUGAACAUAUCAGAAUCAAGCUGAAGAAGCUACACCUUUCAUGCCCUGAGUAUCAGAGAGUUCUACAGCUGAAGGAGCUCAAAUUGUGGUGACUGUUGUGUUUUACCUCUCUGCAGAGGCCCACAUACAAAUUUCACCAAAGAUGAGCAAUGACCUAGGCACUAUGGUUCAUACACAGAUACCUGGAACUACGACAUUAAUUUGAGAUGUGAUUCCCACUACCAUGAUAUUGACUCUGAUGGGCUGUCUUGAUAUUAUUGAGAUCACCAAAUUCCAUAUUGGUAGAAGAUUCUAUAACCAUCUUGUGUCUUCUGUUCAAUAUGCAACCUUAAAAAAAUAGGAGGAUAUGCUGCCUUUAAAUAUAUGCAAGUAGUAGAACAGCUACACUAUGUACCUUGAUGAGAUUCUCAUGACUGUUUCUGUCUACUAAGUACUGUACAAUGUAGUCUAAAAAGAGGAUAUGGUGGACCUGAUAACUGAAAAUAGAUCCCUUGCAAGUUUGAUUCUGCCAUUGACUUUCUUUACCAUGGUGGUAAAUGGUAAGAAGAGUAUGACCCGCUCACUGCCUUUUCAGAGCUCAAGAAAAGGAGAAGAAACUACUCAAUGAAGUCUCGGGAACUGCAGUGGUGAUCUAAUUUGGCAUAUGAAAGUUGAGCCAUGGACAUUUGAACACAAGCUUGGGCCUACCAUAUUUUACCUAUGGAUGUCCCCAAAGUAUUAUUGACCUAUUCUGAUACCGGGCAGCUGACAUUGGAGCUCACCUUGGAUGUGGCCUCUCAGAAGAAGCAGCCAAUCAGCAUCUAACGUAGUAGCAUCAUGUUCCGCUUGGCGCUGUACGGCUGUAGGGAGCUAACCUAACGAAGUUGCAACAGCUAAUUUCUAUCUGGGUCGUGAUUCCCUCAGGUGCAGUUGUCGUCCGCUCCACCGCCUAGCAGCUAAUAGGUAUAUCUAUGGCAGUGCUUACCUAAAAUUGAUAUUUAUGCUUACGGUCCUUUAAAAUUUUCCAAGACUUGUGCUAUCUAUAGCUACAGUUUUAGCAUAGCUCAAUGACCAGAUGCAGAUAUUUAUUAAGAAGACAACAUGACAUUACAAGUACAUAAUCAAGAACUCAAGAGUAUUAGAUUCAGAUCUGGAUCAAAGCAGAACCAUAGGACAUAUGAUAAACUACACCUAGAGACAUGACAACCUGAAACUUGGAUUAAACAAUAGUAAUAGACCUAGGAGCUCUCCUCCUAGCAAGCAACCAUCAAUCUCCAGUGUUUUAGUGCUCUAGAGCCUGGAUAGGGAAAUCAACAGCGUAGGAGGGCAAUUUGAUGGGAAAUUUUUUUCAUGUCCAAAUUAACAAUGCAUAUACCGUUCCCUAUUUAUUUGUACUGGUCCUAUCAGUGGAACUUGGAUUGCAUUUUACUGACACCUUUGUUGAGUGUUUAUUUGGGUUCGGAGGUGAGAAAUUAGGAUUACUGAAUCUUUGUCUUUCUAGCAAAGGUUACAUACUUUGUAAGUUGUUUUAAUAUGGGCUUAAUCUCCACUCCAUGGAUUAUCCUCCCACUUUUGUAUUUUAUUGAAAAUUCUAUGGUUAUUAGCCUUCAACUGGUAUGUUUCUUGGCAAAUCGUUGGGUGACAGAGUUGGCAGCUAUGCUUAGAUCGCAUAUCAGGGAAGACAACGAUUAUUUUUCUAUCUUACAUGCUAAUUAUAGUACUUGAAAUGCAGAACGUUAAGAGUUCAUAGUGCUGAUGUGCUUCCUGUUAUAUCAGUUUGUAAAAGAGUGGUAAUAUGCUACUACAAGGCUUAUGUUUCAGAACAAAGGUAAUAAUAUAAGUUCUUCUCUGUUUGUUUGCUUCGGUCCACUGUCGAUACUCUGUUAUUUUUACCAACCAUUGCACUACUUGACAUGGCAAAACAUGAAUUUCCAUUGGACGUUUGUCUUGCUCAAUGGAUACAUCAGCAUAUUAUGGCAUAUAUGCUUGUAUGAGCAUGAACAGUCAUGAUACUUUAGUUAGAACUCUUCACCAAGUGACCCUCAAUUGCAUCUGAGAUACCCCGCACACCACUUUUGAAAACAACCCAAUCAACUCUGCCGUGAACUGGGUUUUUUUUUUGCAAAGGAAAUACUAUUAUGCUGAUGUAUUUCCCACUAGAAAACCGGUGAUAUUUAUACCUAAUUACCUGCAGAUAUGACAAUUUAUUGUAAACAGCCUUAGAUGUAUUUGUCCAAAAACACCAAGUUUGUUCUGACCAUAUGGGUGGUUUUUGUGAUUGUGUAACGUCAAACCAGCCAUUACAGCUGCAAUAACGGUGAUUGCUGCAUACCAAAGUCAGUCUAUGAUUAUGAUAUAGCCAAUGUUAUUCAGUGGCCGGGGGAGAAAUCUGGAUUGUUUUCAGUGUUCAACUUAACGAGAACUAGCGAGUAGACAUUGUUUUGCAUGCUGGUUCAGUUGGAUCUUUGGAGGGCUUGACAGAUAUUUGGAAAGCUCUAUGAAAGCUUCAAGUGAUGCCCAAAAUUCUUGGUGGCGAGUAGUGAACAAAUAUAUUGCCUUGCUUAGGUGAAUUGAAAAGGAGACACACAUAGGACCUUUUAGUUUUUGUCCUUUGUGUGUUCAUGAAGAAGAAGAUCUGUACCAUGCUUUAAUACGUUGUGAGCAUGUCAAACUCUUCUGGUAUGCAGCAAUAAAUUAUUUUGAUCUGAAUUUGCCUAACCUGCACCCUAUUACAUUGGCGAGGGACUUUCUAGAUAGCCAACAUUGCAGUUUCAGUUCCGUGGUGCAUCUGGAGAAACUAGAAAAAUUAUCAUCAUGGACAUGGAGAAGAGAAGUACCAGCCAAGGAGAGCGAAUGAACUAAUAAAACCUGAGUUUCGUAGCAAAGAGAAAGUUUCGGCAUGCUUGCUGCAGGAAGUAUGAAGGUACGGAGGCCCCUGACGACUCAAUCCUUGCCUGAAGAGAUGGAUUAAUGCUAGCAAGGGAGAAAUAUUGAUAUUUUAAGGGGGAAGCAGUACCUUGUCACUGAAUUGUCUCUUUCCUGAAGGCUCUUUUCUGAAGGUAAGUACCCCGAAGAUGAAUUGCACGGCCAGAAUUGGAGUUUGCUGAUGGCCACCACCAAGAUAUGGAUAGAGAGGCGGGAGCAACCACGAACAGCCAGAUCCAUCGUCUUGGAUGGAGGACGGCCAAGGCAACGAUGGUGCGGUGACGAUGAGCCUACUAGGUGUGGUCUUCGAAGGCUCUCGAACGCGGAACUACGACGGUCCUUGCACUGGUGAUGGAGAGGCAAGGGAGGGACCGGUCUGCGCUCGGUCUUCUUGAGAGAGUGGUGGAACUCGAUAAAGUGGGUGAGCUCGAGAGAGUGAGGAGGCGGUCAACUUUACAUCCUUUAUGAAUAUCAAAAUGUUGUUUGGACUAAUCAGAAAAGAAGUAUUCCUUUUGUACCUAUGUUUGUGAUUUGGCUUUAAGGGGAAGAAACCCAAAGCGUCCUGUUUUUACUAGAAGUGAUUGUACGCACAACACCAAAUUGCAAAUAUAGAGAUUUGAACUUGAGCGGGCCGGGAUGCAUCAGCCCAUCCUAGCCACCGGACUAUGCAUCAGUAUACUGUACCUAUGUUUGUAGCAUCCAUAUUUUGUGAGAUAAUAAUACAUCUAAAA